rnacentral:snRNA from 1 species
AUACUUACCUGGCAGGGGAGAUACCAUGAUCACGAAGGUGGUUUUCCCAGGGCGAGGCUUAUCCAUUGCACUCCGGAUGUGCUGACCCUUGUGAUUUCCCCAAAUGUGGGAAACUUGACUGCAUAAUUUGUGGUAGUGGGGGACUGCGUUCGUGCUUUCCCCUG